GGGACACGUGGUAUCCUGUCUGAAUAUGGGGGGACCAUCCUCCAAGGCUAAAUACUCCUGACUGACCGAUAGUGAACCAGUACCGUGAGGGAAAGGCGAAAAGAACCCCGGCGAGGGGAGUGAAAAAGAACCUGAAACCGUGUACGUACAAGCAGUGGGAGCACCUUCGGGUGUGACUGCGUACCUUUUGUAUAAUGGGUCAGCGACUUAUAUUCUGUAGCAAGGUUAACCGUAUAGGGGAGCCGCAGGGAAACCGAGUCUUAACUGGGCGUUAAGUUGCAGGGUAUAGACCCGAAACCCGGUGAUCUAGCCAUGGGCAGGUUGAAGGUUGGGUAACACUAACUGGAGGACCGAACCGACUAAUGUUGAAAAAUUAGCGGAUGACUUGUGGCUGGGGGUGAAAGGCCAAUCAAACCGGGAGAUAGCUGGUUCUCCCCGAAAGCUAUUUAGGUAGCGCCUCGUGAACUCAUCUUCGGGGGUAGAGCACUGUUUCGGCUAGGGGGUCAUCCCGACUUACCAACCCGAUGCAAACUACGAAUACCGAAGAAUGUUAUCACGGGAGACACACGGCGGGUGCUAACGUCCGUCGUGAAGAGGGAAACAACCCAGACCGCCAGCUAAGGUCCCAAAGUCAUGGUUAAGUGGGAAACGAUGUGGGAAGGCACAGACAGCCAGGAUGUUGGCUUAGAAGCAGCCAUCAUUUAAAGAAAGCGUAAUAGCUCACUGGUCGAGUCGGCCUGCGCGGAAGAUGUAACGGGGCUAAACCAUGCACCGAAGCUGCGGCAGCGACACUAUGUGUUGUUGGGUAGGGGAGCGUUCUGUAAGCCUGCGAAGGUGUGCUGUGAGGCAUGCUGGAGGUAUCA
rnacentral:rRNA from 1 species